rnacentral:lncRNA from 10 species
GUUUCAGUUGGAUUCAGGGCAAGGGGAGGCCGGUAAGUCGCCCAAAAAUAAAGUGAAUGAGAAGCAGAAGUUGUUAAUACUAUAUCCCCCGGCAGGUGCUAACCGCACGCCGACCCGACUGCAGCGCGGGAACGGAAGGAGGAAACGGAAGAUUUGAAAAGAUUCUGCCGCCCCCAGAAACUGUGCGACCCGUGCCCUCGCAGCCACCCCCAAGAAGCUCCGUCUUUACCAACGCGAGCAGCGCAGCAGCUUCUCCAGGCGGUCGAGCGCGGCGCGACUGUGGGCCCAGGCACCGCGACCAUCCGGUUCCAUGGCGGGCGCGGAACGAGGCUCGUUCCCGGAGCGGAUCCUCGGCUGCCGGUUCCUCGGCUGCCGAUUAUCCGGCAUCGUCCCGCCUUCGGAUGAAAGGCUCCUCGCAGAGCGGGAAGCAAGGAAGCCUCGGGAAACCACAGGGAAGCUGCAGCGUAAUUAGCUGCCUACUUUUCAAAAUUAUGUGAUGACUUCAUGGGAAAAGAGAUUCACAAGAACCAGUAACAGGAAAGCUUAAAUAAGCUUGGAAAUCUUUAAACUUUCAAUAUCGAAUCAAGAAAUACUCUAUUUCACCAGAGGAAUCCUUGCAAAUACAUUUUACUCCACUAUGCAAAAUCCUGUGGAACCAGUUUUUUAUACAUAUUUUUAGCUGAAAGAUCAAGGAAAUGUGUCACAGUUGGGGACCUGUAUCAUAAUUAUCUCUGUAGGUUCUACAGCAUCCAGCAUGAUGUCCAAAGUAGCGAGAUUGGAAAAUGCCAAAGCAAUUGGGGAAAAAAAUACUGUUUUCUCUGAAAUGAAGACUCCUCAAGAUCCUGUUGCUGGAAUGAGUAUUGGACUCUUCGGUCUACUUCUACAGUCACCAGUACAUCUGGCAUACACUAUGAUGCCCAACAGUAGGAAGAUGAAAGAAAUGUAGAUGUUGGCAUUUCUAAAAGAGAUGUUGUAUCUUUUUUCCUACUUAAUAGACUAUUAGGCUAUAAAUCUCAAUCUUGG